AUUAACUCACAUUAUAGACGGGUCUAACGCGGAUUAUAUUCAAUUACCUUGAUUUACCGACGUAAAUCAGUUUCGUUUCGUAUAAUGUGAGUUAAUAUGUGUUCAAAACGCGAAAGUUUAAAAUAUUAUAAGAGCGGCAAAUUUAGAAAAUGUAAGCGCGCGAAAGGCUGUGGUCCUAUUGUAACGUAGACAUUUUCUUAGAUUUUAAAUUAAUAUUUUUGGGUUGAAUUCCUUUUCUUAUUUCAACGAUUUUAACAAUAUCCCAAACUAACUCGAUUGAUUGCACUUCUUUGCAUAAUCUGUUGCAUUCAGAUGCACCUUUUGAUGCUUAUCUGUUGUCGGGGUUGUCAUAUGAGUAAAAAUAAUUAAAACUUGAGAUAUUUAUGUUGUCACUCCAGGAAAACUUUGUAUGAUUUAGGUAUGAUUUUUAUAGAUAGAAAAUAAGUUUGAUGUAAAACAAAACAUAUAAAUUACAGACUUACAAAGUGGCUCUGAAAUGAAACCUUAUUAGAUUUAAUGAUAAAAAUAUAUUUCUUAGGCUCAGGAGUGAAUUUGUCUAAAUAAUCAGUUCAGAAUUUUCGAAGAAUUUGUGUCUUCAGGGGAUUGGCACCCUACUUUUGUUUUUUUUUGCCUUUUGUUCUCAACAUAUGAGAAGGUCAUUCUGAGGUGACAUGCACUUUUGAUGUGUGGACCCCUCCGGGGACGCACGCUCGCAUGAGCCCUAUUUUGUGAUAAGACCACACAUUCCACAUGGUGGUCAAAAUGGUGGAAGCAGUUCGAGUCCUUCGGUGUGUUCCACUGAGUAAGUAUAAAUGGAAUUUAGUUGUGAUCAAUUCCAAAAUGGCGCGAAACAUUGUGGGUUUGUUCUUAACCAAGUUUUGGUUCUUUACAGAGUUGACUCCUGCUCGAGGGAAGGGAGCGCUCCGCCAGAAGUCCUAACAGCUUCCAGUGCGGAGCCGGGAUGUUUCUAGAUGUUUCUAGAAGCUUUUGAUGUUUCUAGAAGUUUCAAGAUGUUUCGAAUUUGAAGUUUUAAAAUGAUGCUGUGGGAUCUGUCCCACGUCAUCUGCACUGGCCGGCUCCAACCAGGUUAGCAGUCAGCUUCCCGGGGAUAGGCGAGGUCACUCCCCGCCGCUCCAGGUCCGGUAGCAGUUUUUGAGGUCGGUCUGAUGCAUCUUUAAUUUUUAAAUUGCGUCUGCGCUCGGCUACAAAUUUAAAAUGUGAUUUAGAGCAAUAGUUAUUUUAAUUUAAAGUUUUGAAAGUUCUGGUGCAUAAAACUUAGGUAUUUCGAAAUUUAGUCUUUAGUAAUUAAUUAAUUGGUGUAAACCUUAUGACAUGAACCUGUGAAGCGACCCAGCUAUACCACUGAGCUUUUACACUAUAACUUUAGGUUAAUAAAGUUUGUUAGAUUUAAA